UUUGUAGCCAACUAAAUUAUGUGAGGAUCUUUGACGAUCCAAUUUACCUCCCUAGUAAUGUUAGAGACGUUGCCCAUUCAAUUUGAAUUUUCCAGUAGCUUCACUACAUGUCAUGACCCGGUACUCUCCUCGAGCCCGUGACAACCGUCGUGAUGUCCCAAUAGACAUUCAUCGUCCGAAAUACUGAUCGAAACCUGACAAGGCUUUUAUAUCAGUUUUUCUCACCUCCCCUGUGAGCGACAAUUGUUAAAUAUCAUGUUUUGAGAGAUUAUAAACUAUUUCCAAAUCAAAACAAUAGAAAAAUAAAAUAUCUCACAGAGACAUUUUGGUCAUUUUUUCUCAAAAAUCUCGAAACCAGCUAAAAAUGUAGUAUGCGAGUAUAAAACACAUAAUUCAUAAUCAAAAAUAAGUAUAAACGUCUAAAACCUUCAUUUAAAAUGAAAUUAUAACUAUUUGAAUAUAAUAAAAAUAUUCAAUAAAAUAUUCUAUUUUCUUAUAAAACAAUAUUUAUAGAGUUACCGGUAAAUAAUUUUUGUAGCGUAAAAGUUAAAUAAAUUCAUACAUAUUGUAAUACAGAUAACCAAAGUAUAAAAUUUAAUUUACAGUGACACGUGGGCUCACAAACGACCAAAAGUAUCAAAAGCAGUAAACCUAUAGUUUUUGAGGAUGCAAGUUCAACUGUAGCCCUCAACAAAGUGAGCUAUCUACCGACUAUCUUGAGCCUGAAAUGGGUGGAAAGGAGGGUGGUGAGAUUAUAUAAUCCCAGUAAGUAAACAAAUAUCAUCUAAAAUAUCUAAAAUUGAGUAAAUAGAGAUAGAUAAAAUAGUUUAACAUACUGUAAUUCAUCAUGUUUCAACUCAUUUCAACCAAAUAAAAUCAAUUCAUAUAAAUCGAGUAAACAACAUGGCUUAUGAAUUUCUUAAAAGCUUUGGCUCGUGCCAAUAUCAUUCUUAUACUUAGUUAUCAGGGAUACCUUGGUCGGAGGUUAUCCCAACCGAGUCCGCCAAGGCUAUUAAAAAGUUAUGUACACAUAAAUCAUGUUUUUAUUUUGAAAAUAUAGCCGUUCCUUGACGUUGGCUGAGUUCACCCUCACGUGGUGGUUUGGCGUGAAGUGAACUCUAAAGUGUUAACCUCAGGAGUUAUCCAUCCGCGCCUCUCAUGCUGAGGUAUGAAUAUAAUAGGGUUACCGUGCCCUCUUUAAUAAGCUGGUCCACGAAACCCCGUCUACUGCAGCGACCAAUUUAUAACCCACCAUACAAUAAAAAUUCAACAGCAUGACAUGAUAAUUUUAUCAUUAUCCAGCCUAUCAAGGCAAACAACAGUUUAUACAUUUUCAACACAAAUACCAAUUCAGCCAUUCAUGCCAAUAUUGCCAUAAGCCAAUCAAUUAGAACCAUAAAUUCACAACACAUCAAAUAGUCUCCAAUUACUCUAUUUUCCAAAACCAUCAUUCAAUUUCUAGACAAUUUUAUAAAAUCAUUUCAUUAAAUCACAUUUUACUUUUAAAACAUAAAGAUUUACCAUUUAUCUCAUUUUCUAUAAAAUCACAAAAUCGGAUAAAAAUCACUUUAGAUAAUUAAGAUGAUAAUAAGGUUACUCACUAUUUCAAGAGUCGAAUUUCUAGUACUUCGAUUCUUGAUCCUCGGAUACUAUCUCUUUACUUUUGCCAGAAUGCUCACCACAUAGACAUAAUGCACAAUAAGCCAUUUACUACAUUGGUGCUAAUUUGUUAUAAACCAAUUCAAGCUCUAUACUAAUGCAUGAAAUGAGAUGUGAAAUACUCGGAUAACAAUCUAAAUAUAGUGUUCAAUAUAAAUUCAAUUAUGUACCUAAAUAAAACGGUAUUGGCCUAAUUCGAUCUAUCAUUCGAUUAAUUGGCCAAUAUGUCCAAUUCAACUCCAAAUAAUUCCAUUUUUCUCCCAAUACUCCAAAUCAUCAAACACAAAUUAAAUAACUUGAAAUAUGAAAAAAUCAUCUUCACAUUUUCUCUUGGGAAUUUCGGCCAUGGUGGGUGCAUCAAUACUAUGAUUUUUCAAGCUUGAUUCUCACACCAUAAAUCACUAAUUUCUAACCAAAUCACUCGAAAUAAAAUCAAAAUCAUCAUCAAUAUUCUACAUGGAGAAUUCGGUCAAUGAUGGGUGAUGGGAGAACAUUAAUUUUUCUUGCUUGAUUUUCAUGUUACACAUCACUAACUAACUAAAAACACUAAAAUACAUUGAAAUCUAACCAAAUCAAGCAUCAAAACCUCCCUCUAAGUGUUCAGCCAGUAAGAUACCCAUCAUGAAAUCAUGUGAUUUAACCAUGGAAAAUGCAAAAGAAUGUAUGGAAAAGGUAGAUCACAAGUCAAAAUCAAGAAAUUUUACCUUUGAUUGCUUGAUUGCUUGAUUACUUGAAAUUCACCAAUUUUCUCUUGAAUUUUCACCCUAGGGUUCUUGUUCUUUCUUUUCUUCCUUUGUUCUUGCUUUGGCCGGCCAUAUGAA
rnacentral:lncRNA from 1 species